rnacentral:hammerhead_ribozyme from 1 species
GCGCUGCUGAGGAGUCCCACAAUAGGACGAAACGGUCGUUCAGUGC